rnacentral:rRNA from 1 species
GACGAACGCUGGCGGCGUGCUUAACACAUGCAAGUCGAACGGAAAGGCUCCAGCUUGCUGGAGUACUCGAGUGGCGAACGGGUGAGUAACACGUGGGUAAUCUGCCCUGCACUCUGGGAUAAGCCUGGGAAACUGGGUCUAAUACUGGAUAUGACCUUUCUCCUUAUGGGGUUUGGUGGAAAGUUUUUCGGUGUAGGAUGAGCCCGCGGCCUAUCAGCUUGUUGGUGGGGUGAUGGCCUACCAAGGCGACGACGGGUAGCCGGCCUGAGAGGGUGAUCGGCCACAUUGGGACUGAGAUACGGCCCAGACUCCUACGGGAGGCAGCAGUGGGGAAUAUUGCACAAUGGGCGGAAGCCUGAUGCAGCGACGCCGCGUGAGGGAGGACGGCCUUCGGGUUGUAAACCUCUUUCAGCAGGGACGAAGCGUAAGUGACGGUACCUGCAGAAGAAGCACCGGCUAACUAUGU